GGAAUCUUCGGCAAUGGGGGCAACCCUGACCGAGCAACGCCGCGUGAGUGAAGAAGGUUUUCGGAUCGUAAAGCUCUGUUGUAAGAGAAGAACGUGUGUGAGAGUGGAAAGUUCACACAGUGACGGUAACUUACCAGAAAGGGACGGCUAACUACGUGCCAGCAGCCGCGGUAAUACGUAGGUCCCGAGCGUUAUCCGGAUUUAUUGGGCGUAAAGCGAGCGCAGGCGGUUUUUUAAGUCUGAUGUGAAAGCCUUCGGCUUAACCGGAGAAGUGCAUCGGAAACUAGGAGACUUGAGUGCAGAAGAGGACAGUGGAACUCCAUGUGUAGCGGUGGAAUGCGUAGAUAUAUGGAAGAACACCAGUGGCGAAGGCGGCUGUCUAGUCUGUAACUGACGCUGAGGCUCGAAAGCAUGGGUAGCGAACA
rnacentral:rRNA from 1 species